rnacentral:lncRNA from 1 species
GAUCGACCACAAACAGCCCGUGUGUGUGUGUGAGCAGCAUCUGCUGGGAACAGGGGUACAACUUCACAUCUUCCUGGAGCCUCUGCCCAGGGGCCCUGAUUGGCUGGGCCGCCUCUGGGGAGCCUGUCACGUGGGCCCCACCUGUCAGCACCAAUUGGGGUCUCCCAGACACCUGCUCUGCGCCCGGGGUUGCCAUGGGGACGGGCCGGCGGGGCGCGUGUGGGCACACCUGUCUGUGUCGGCGUGGCGCUGUGGCCGCCGCUGAGCUGUCCACACGAGCACGGAGGGGAGGCCCUGACCACUGUCCCCUCCCGCACUGGGAAAGGAAGGAGGCCUUCUUUUGCUCUCCUCCAAUUCCACACCUCCGGGAUAGGGAUUCAGGAAGCUUCCCCCAAUUUCCAAUGAAAGACACAGAGGCUCGGAGAAAGGAGUUCACUUGCGUAAGGUCGCCGAGCCCUCGGAAAGUUCCAGAGCUGGUGAGGGUUGGGGUGGGGGCGGGAGGGCCUCAAGAGUCCAGAAGACGCCCUUGCCCGGUGGAGCCCUGGCCCUCUACCCUCCACCCAGCCAGAGGCAGGUGCAGGCUCCGCAUCAGAUGUAUACGACGAGAAGACAGUGCAACCUGGCUGCCCCAGUUUGGAGCAUUACGGCCGUUGGCGCUGCUGAUCGGCUCUGGCGUCUCCUGGCUGCCUCCUCCUCAGCUCCACUCAGACACACCCCCAGCCCCCUCCCCUCCCCAGCCCCCCCCCCCACCGCACCCCUGCCUGCAGGCCACAGGCCCUCCCGCCCAGCAGGGGAGAGAGAAGCACAGCCACCCGGCCCCCAGGAUGGACAGUGAGCCAACAGGAGGACAGAGGGAGGGGCCUCAGCCCUUCUCAACACAGCAGCCACGAGCCCAGUCCUGGCCAGAACAGUCCGGGCCCCGGGGACCAGCUCUGCGAAUUAGAAGAUGA